rnacentral:rRNA from 1 species
UACCCCAUAGUAUUGCUGAGAGGCAUUUCUUGGCGAAUUAAAGUUUUGGCGGUCAGAGAUCGGUGUGCCGUCCGAUUAGCUAGUUGGCGGGGUAACCGGCCCACCAAGGCGACGAUCGGUAGGGGGUGUGAGAGCAUGACCCCCCACAUGGGUACUGAGACACGGACCCAACUCCUACGGGAGGCAGCAGUAAGGAAUAUUGGACAAUGGUCGGAAGACUGAUCCAGCCAUGCCGCGUGAAGGACGAAGGCGCUCAGCGUUGUAAACUUCUUUUGGAUGGGGAUAAUAAUCUCGAUUUAUCGGGACUUGAAGGUACCAUCAGAAUAAGCACCGGCUAACUCCGUG